rnacentral:tRNA from 1 species
GGAGGGGUGGCCGAGUGGUUAAAGGCACCAGACUGUAAAUCUGGCGACGUAGUCUACGCAGGUUCGAAUCCUGCCCCCUCCA